CAAGAAAAUUCUAACCAAGGCAAAUUGCUUCCUCUCUUCUCGGAAAAUGUUCUGCGACCGCCAGCCUCGCCGAGGCGAAGGUACUCGGACAGACAUACCGACGGACUUGCCGCACGUAGACAAGCUUAAAAGCUAUUCAUAUUUCCCCUUACCUUUUAGCUCACGCACCCUGGGCUAGCUCAUCAAUCUUGUCCUGCGGCUGUCCUUUAUAGACCUCGCAAAACGGUCCGAGACCGCGAGGUCCGCGUGACAAGUGGGCGUAAAGAUAACGAGAGAUUUUCGCAAGGUUUAAAAACCGAUUCCAAUUAGUCAGGGUAUCCGAUUACCUUCGGAAAAGAAGCCAAUUCAUUAAAAUCGGCAUUCUUCCCCAUGCGUUGAAGAUAACUCAACGCGCCCCCGUUAGUCUCCUGUACCAUAUAUCAUUUUAUCCAGAUACGAGACCAUCAUGACUUUGCGCAGCGGAUGAUAUCAGCCGGUCUCUCGUCCAAUCGCCGUUUCAACAACGAUCGUAUCUGGGGUGGUGGCAGAUGUUGUUGAGAAAAUUCCGCACACAUCACGUGCGCUACAACGCCGUAAGAAGUAAUCCACUUUUGAUUUAUCGCCUCAUUCAAGAGAAGAUCAUGCGUGCCGGUCGGACCUUGUGUGUUUGUGUGGAUGAAUUAACGCUCGAUUAAUCACGGAACGUCGUAUUGACGUCAUCGCAGAUAGAGACGUACGCGUCGAUGAUCAUGCGGUGAAUUUUUUGCUUCAUUCGACGUUCGAUACCGGUUAAUCGUUCGUCGAUUUCAGAUCCGUGCGUCCUCGUUGUAUCCGGUGUAUACCGAACCUUUGGCCUUUGUCACACCCUCUGACUGUUUACGGAAUCGUUACGCUGCGGCUGAUGAAACUUUUUCAAAGUUCACCCUGCAGCGAAAUAGAUGCAAGCGACUAAAUAUCUCGCUUCUUACUGAUUUCUUUUUCUCACCGUGCAGCGUGCCACAUUUUCCCAUGAUCUGCAAUAUCGCAAGGCUCGCGCUGAUUCGUGGAAAAUUCGGCCGUUAGAAUGCUCCGUAAAUAUACAAAUGACUCGUUUAGAUAUCGUGGAAUGUGUAAAGAGGAUAGCGGAAAAAGCGUGAAGCUAAAAUCAAAGCAUCCGCAUGGGACGUUUACUUGACAGAAUUUCGAAGACUGAAUCUCGGUAAUCACAAAUGGCCAGCAUCGUGGGACCCGGAGGGCGUGCCGAGCAUCGGCCGAAGGCCCAAACGA
rnacentral:lncRNA from 1 species